GAUCGGCGAAGACAGACUUGGGCGGACGGAGGUGGUGCUUCUUAUGGUAUGGGCGGUGUCGACAAAUGGUCACCGGAAGGUAACCCAAACUCCAAACCUAAUGGAGGGCUCUGAUACCAUGUAAUCUAGAAUUCAGAAACGUAUGUCUUAUUCUCAUUGAGUCAAAGCAAUGUUACAUAUUUAUAAAGAGAAUAAACUAAACCCUAGAGACUAUGUAAAAUUACAAUAAAGGACAUAUGUAUAUAUAUAUAUAUCAUAACAC
rnacentral:lncRNA from 1 species